rnacentral:rRNA from 1 species
GAUGAACGCUGGCGGCGUGCCUAAUACAUGCAAGUAGAACGCUGAAGGAAGGAGCUUGCUCUUUCCGGAUGAGUUGCGAACGGGUGAGUAACGCGUAGGUAACCUGCCUGGUAGCGGGGGAUAACUAUUGGAAACGAUAGCUAAUACCGCAUAACAGUAGAUGUUGCAUGAUAUCUACUUAAAAGGUGCAAUUGCACCACUACCAGAUGGACCUGCGUUGUAUUAGCUAGUUGGUGAGGUAACGGCUCACCAAGGCGACGAUACAUAGCCGACCUGAGAGGGUGAUCGGCCACACUGGGACUGAGACACGGCCCAGACUCCUACGGGAGGCAGCAGUAGGGAAUCUUCGGCAAUGGACGGAAGUCUGACCGAGCAACGCCGCGUGAGUGAAGAAGGUUUUCGGAUCGUAAAGCUCUGUUGUAAGAGAAGAACGAGUGUGGGAGUGGAAAGUUCACACUGUGACGGUAUCUUACCAGAAAGGGACGGCUAACUACGUG